rnacentral:rRNA from 1 species
CAGCGCCAGACGGUAAAACAGAAAGAAAAAACGGAUCUUCUCCCCCACUUCUCCCGCACCCGAGAACCGCCCACACGCCUCGAUCUCCCGCCGCCGAGCCUCCUUCCCCAAUCCACACGCCUCAUCCGCGCCCUCCCUGGACCCCCAUGCCGCUGCGCCCCCUCCCUGAGGCCCCCGCCGCCACGCCCUGUCCCCGGAGGCCCCCGCCGCCGCGCCACCUUCCCGGAUCCACCCGCCGCGGCGCGCCCUCCCCGGAAUCCGCACGCGCGCCGCCGGAUCCUGCGGCCGCCUUACGCCUCCACCACCAACCGCCGCUGCUCUCCCCGUCCCUCACCUCCGGUCAACCCCCCACUUCUCCCCUCCGGUGAGCCUUCUCUCGCCCUCUGAUUUCAUCUUCUCCUUCUCUGCCUCCGAGUAACUCCCCAGGAUCCUCCGGCUAGUCGCCGCCUGGUUCGUCUUGUGCGCCGCUGGAACAAGCGCGUCCUGCGCGACCCUUGGACCACCAUCGCGGCCCACCCCUUCGAUGGCCAUUCUUGUUCUUCAAGCUCCCAGAUCAUGCUGAUGUCGUCGUCCCCAACCCCCCUGCACGGCGUGAACGUUGUUCACCAGGACGUUUCCGAUUCCUGAUGGUGCAGUUGCUGUCCGCAAGGUCCUCCCUGACCCGUCGAUCCAUUGGUUCGAUCGACCAAGUUCUUGUUGUCUGGACACUGAAGUUCACAUAGAACAAGGGGUGAAUAAAUACAGGAAGUUUUUGCAUAUAAAGUUCAGAAAAAAAUAUGCCCUGCCACACUUUUUGUUCGUGCUAGUUUUGAUAUAUGUGCUCAGAUUUUGGUUUUGCAGAAUAAGGCAUGCUGUCUGGCACUUCGACUGUAGAAUUAAGAUACAUUGAUCGCUGGCAAAAAUGGCUCCCCUGCGCAAGAGGCUGUGGACUUGUGCGGCGAGGAGGGAUCUCAACCUCCCUUCAGAUUUUGUUGCUUCCAUGCCCUACGUUUCUUUUUAAUGCAUGUUAAAGAAUGCCCUCGGCCUGACCUUUUUCUUGUGUGAUUUGGUCAAUAUUUUCUAUGAUCCAUUUGGUGUAGCUUCUCUGUGAUUUUAUGGAGCUUUGUACAAGACUUCUAUCAUCGUGCUAUUCCAUGUUGGUUGUUGAGG